UGCUCCCACAGUUUCACCCGUUCUAUUACCCCUUUGCUCAUUCAAGCAAAAGCUUCAGUAGUCUUAAACAUGGCAGAAGCUUGCCUCGCCGAUUUUGACCGAAAGCAGAGGUGGAAGGGAACAAGAAAUAACACUUUACAUUAUCAAAAAUACUGUCUAGGACCGGAGCGGCUGCUCGAACACUACUGCAAAUACUACUGUUUUUCUUACUCUUUGCACUCUUCUCAUCCCUUAGAACUCUCAGAAAGAACUUUCAAACUUUUAUUUACUGUCUCGGUGUACUUUAUCCGCGAUAGAGGUGUUCGAACCCAUUUGACUCGAGGUUCGGAUCUGUUCAUGACGAGAGAAUAGAUUCGAGGUCGAGGCUCCCGUACACUGCCCUACAAGAGGUAAAAUCUGACCUUUAUCUGGCUUUUUCUCUUCCGUUUAGAAACUUUGUGUCUGCUUAGAAAUUAUGGUAAAAGGGCGUGUAUAGUCAGAUUUAACGGUGUUAUUAUUUAUUGUUUGGAUCUCCAAAAGUCAUAAUAUUUGAAAUUGUUAGUAACCGUGUUCAUGAUUGUGAGCUAAGCAUAAAUAAAUGUAGUAGAAAUCAUGUUUAGGCAUUCUUUUAAUCGUGUGAAGAUUUGUGGCAAAUUUUGAUAGUUGUUGUGGUUUAAAAAUUCAUCUUUAGUUUCCCUUUUAAGUCAAAAUCAUGAACAACUUAUUUGUGAACUAACAUAUCUUGAGAUGUCUUAUUUGUGAUAAUUACUUUAACCUCUAGAAUACAUGAUUUAGGAUUUUUACUGUUUGUGAAACAGAAACCAUGAUGAUAAGAUUAAUUUCAUAGUAGAAGUCACGUCUCUGAUUAUUUAUAUCCUUGGUUAAUAUGAGUAAUAUUUUAAGGAAGCAUGAUAUGUGCCCUUUGGCUCAAACGCCAGAUAAAUGAACCUGACCUGCUAAAUUUAUGUUUAAGCCUUGCACAUAAAGCUAUUUAAAAGUAUUCUAUAUUUUCUGUUUGCAUUGAGGAACACUGUAGAACCAAGGUAAGAUUCUGCUAUGACUAAUAAACUAAGAAAUCCCUUUGAUUCAUCUACACAUGAUGUAAUUUGUGCAUGGUUCUUACGAUGGCAUAUCCAUUCGUAUAUGUUUCAGAAAUACUAGCUUUAACAAACUCCGUGCUUGACUGAGCGUGUCUGAUAUUAACUGAAAAUAUUCCAACUCACUGUUCGCUUUCAGUUUAAGGCCAACAUGAUUUUACUUAGUUUAUUUCAUCUUCAAUAGGAAGCAAGAUUAAUAAGAUUUCUUCCUAACUUCCUCUUUCCUUUUCUUUUCCUUGUUUACAUGACAUGACGGAGCUGCUCCCGAGUUCCAUUUUGAGACUCCAUGUCGCUGUCUAGAACCAGUGUUUGCAUUAUCAUCACUCAGCUCUCUCUCCGAAAUAAAUCCGAACAGCAAAAAAUGGAUUUUAAAGGCGCUGAAACAGGAAUUGCAAAAGUUGUUAUCCUUUUGUUAGGAGCUAAAUGGGGCUGUCUACCAUAUUAUUAUUUUUUUUUCUCCCUCUUAUUACUGCUUACUUGAAUGAUGGCUAACAUUUUACUGUGUGAUUAUCUUUUAACUUUAGUUGUGUGAUUGACAUUAAAACCAAAUAUUAGUACAUGAUUAGUAACUAUGCUCCCAUUUGAUCACAUAGGAUCUUCACCUCUAGUUAACAAUGUAUUACUGACUCUAAAGAUCUGUCUAUGGUUUAGUUAAAAUUUCCCA